rnacentral:misc_RNA from 1 species
AACGCACAUUGCGCCCGCCAGUACUCUGGCGGGCAUGCCUGUUCGAGCGUCAUUUCAACCCUCAAGCCCUGCUUGGUGUUGGGGCCCUACGGCUGCCGUAGGCCCUGAAAGGAAGUGGCGGGGCUGCCGCACACGUCUUUGAUUCUCAGUUUGACCUCGGAUCAGGUAGGGAUACCCGCUGAACUUAA